rnacentral:rRNA from 1 species
GAUGAACGCUGGCGGCGUGCUUAACACAUGCAAGUCGAACGAAGCACCUCUCCCGAAGAUUGACACAGCUUGCUGUAGAUCGAUUCAUUUGAGGUGACUGAGUGGCGGACGGGUGAGUAACGCGUGGGUAACCUGCCUCAUCGCGGGGGACAACAGUUGGACACGACUGCUAAUAUCGCAUAUUAAGAAGAAUUCGCAUGUUUUCUUCUUGUAAGAUUUAUCGCUAUGAGAUGGACCCGCGUCUGAUUAGCUAGUUGGUAAGGUAACGGCUUACUAAGGCGACGAUCAGUAGCCGGCUUGAGAGAGUGAACGGCCACAUUGGGACUGAGACACGGCCCAAACUCCUACAGGAGGCAGCAGUGGGGAAUAUUGCACAAUGGGGGAGACCCUGAUGCAGCGACGCCGCGUGAGUGAAGAAGUAUUUCGGUAUGAAAAGCACUAUCAGCAGGGAAGAUAAUGACGGUACCUGACUAAGAAGCCCCGGCUAACUACGUG